GCCUUCUCAAAAGUUUAAGAUCACUUCCCUCAAAGAAUAUUAUAGGCAUUUGUUCAGGACUACACUUUAAUUACCUUCAACAAAAUAAACAAGAGCUCCUUAUGAAAUAAAAUUUGGAUUGUGUGGUUCGCAGCCCCUGCCCCACGUGGGGUUCGCAACCCCUGCCCCACGUGGUUCAACCUCCUUAGCUUCAACACUUCAACUUCAACGCUCAACCAGUUAUUGCCCAAACUAAACUGUUGGCUAACUUGUGUCCCCUCUCUCUAUUGGCCCCCACCUUCCCUCCAAUCCCAGAGGAGAUCCUUUCGAAUCUUCUCUUCAUCCAAAUUCUCUGUACUGUUCCUUAUUCUCUUUAUUAUAUUAUAUUUCCCAACAGUGCAAUCCAAACUAACCAGAAAAAGAAAAAAGAAAAAAAAAAAACAAUUACACAAAUUUUUUUUAAAGGAAUGAGAGCUUUGAAUUCACAUUUGGUGCUGAUUGAUCUGCACACAUCAUGGCACUCAGAGGACCAAAUCCCAACUUCGACUCUCACGUAACUCAAGAACUCCUCAAACUUCAUCUCCGCUCUCUCUUCGUCAUUUCGUCGAACACGUCGCGCGCGUCCCGGAACCGCUUCGUCGUCGAGAUCGGCGGCCCCGGAUAUCCGUAGACUGUCCGAUCGUUUCUUUCCCGGAAAUGGGUCACCGUCGAUUUCGCCAAAUUCGGCCUCGACGUCGCGAUCGUCGGAGCUCGAGCUGUUUCUCGACUUGCAGCCUCUGAGGAUGAGGAGGGAGCUGUUUCAGCACGAGGAGAUUGGGGAGCUUAUUGAGGUUGUUAUGGAUUUGGGAAGGCAGCCUCUUGCGAGGUUUCCUUCGGGUGAUUGGGUCAUCUCGGAGCAACCUGUCAAGCAUGAAGAUUUAAAGCACGCGAUAUCUAAGGUUGGUGAUUUUUCGGAUGACAACCGUUCGGGUAUUAAUAAUUCUUUACAUCGUAUAAGUGCCAUUCGGAAUCGGAAAAUGCAAAUCAUUGGCCUCACUCGCCGGGUUGGUCGAGCUGUAUCUGGAAGUGCCGGAUAAUACGUGACUCGGUUGAGGGCGGAGGUUCCAUCUUAGUCAUAGGGCCUCCUGGGGUCGGCAAGACAACCUUGAUCAGAGAAACUGCUAGAAUGUUGGCAGAUGAACACAGGAAGCGUUUUGUUAGUGUGGACACAUCUAAUGAGAUUGGAGGUGAAGGAGAUGUUCCUCAUGCAGGAAUAGGUCGUGCAAGAAGGAUGCAAGUUCCUAAUGUUCAAAUGCAGCAUAAUGUAGGGGUGGCAAAAUAAGCCCAAACCCAUUUGCCCCCCCAAA